rnacentral:rRNA from 1 species
UGGGAAUUUGGACAAUGGGCGAAAGCCUGAUCCAGCAAUGCCGCGUGUGUGAAGAAGGCCUUCGGGUUGUAAAGCACUUUUGUCCGGAAAGAAAUCCUUGGCUCUAAUACAGUCGGGGGAUGACGGUACCGGAAGAAUAAGCACCGGCUAACUACGUGCCAGCAGCCGCGGUAAUACGUAGGGUGCAAGCGUUAAUCGGAAUUACUGGGCGUAAAGCGUGCGCAGGCGGUUUGCUAAGACCGAUGUGAAAUCCCCGGGCUCAACCUGGGAACUGCAUUGGUGACUGGCAGGCUAGAGUAUGGCAGAGGGGGGUAGAAUUCCACGUGUAGCAGUGAAAUGCGUAGAGAUGUGGAGGAAUACCGAUGGCGAAGGCAGCCCCCUGGGCCAAUACUGACGCUCAUGCACGAAAGCGUGGGGAGCAAACAGGAUUAGAUACCCUGGUAGUCCACGCCCUAAACGAUGUCAACUAGUUGUUGGGGAUUCAUUUCCUAGUAACGUAGCUAACGCGUGAAGUUGACCGCCUGGGGAGUACGGUCGCAAGAUUAAAACUUAAAUGAAUUGACGGGGUCAUAGCUGUUU